rnacentral:rRNA from 1 species
UACGUAGGGUGCAAGCGUUAAUCGGAAUUACUGGGCGUAAAGCGUCCGCAGGUGGCAAUGUAAGUCUGCUGUCAAAGCGUCUGGCUCAACCAGAUAAAGGCAGUGGAAACUACAUAGCUAGAGUAAGGUAGGGGUAGAGGGAAUUCCUGGUGUAGCGGUGAAAUGCGUAGAGAUCAGGAAGAACACCGGUGGCGAAAGCGCUCUGCUGGACCUUAACUGACGCUGAGGGACGAAAGCUAGGGGAGCGAAUGGG